UUUGAUUAAGACCUUGGAAUGGACAUUUCACUCGAAACGCCUCACACAAUAUUCCAGGCGUAUAUAUUAUAUUAUAUUAGUAUUAUAGGAUGUGUUACGAGUUGUGUGCGAGAAGCGACGGUAGAAUGCAAAGUCUAACAGGAUAAUGGACGUCGCGGUUGAAUUAUUGGUCCCAUGGACCCAAGGACGCGGAGGAGGAACAAACUCCACUGACCUGCACUUCAGCCUCGAAAAAUCAGCGGAAAAACUCAUUUUUCAUAAUCCAUCGUUUAGGUUAUGAAUAAUAAAACGACCGCGUAUUAUGCUACUAGAAAAAUUCAUCGAAAAAUACUUUUGUAUUAACAAAAUAAAUGGAAUUCAACCAACCGGAAACCUCCGGGAAAAUAAAAAAUUGAAACGUUACAAAACACUUUUAUUCUCGGUGGAAUAAUGAAAUGCAACUGAAAGCUUAAAAGCGAGUUUCGAAGUACUAUUUGAAAUUUUUCUACAGUGCGAGUACGAUUGUUAUAAACUCUACACGAAUCACGUAAGGGGGGCGCCACCUGCUGGAUCAAAUGGCCACCUAUCGAGAUUUUAUUUACCUCCAAACGAUGCGGUUUCAGUUACUCUACAACUCUCGGAGUUGUAAUUCCAUGAAAUACUCGAUUUGGAUAAUUCUUCAGGAAUGUAGGAAGCUCGAAUAUAGAGAGAUGAAGAUGACUAAACGAAAGAUAUUUUUCUUAGAAUUGAAGAAAAAAUAGAAAAUUGCGAACGAGGAAUCGAUGGCUGGAAUAAUUUUGACGUGGGUUUUUCCUCCUGGGAAAAAUGCGAGAAAAAAUAAUCUUCGUUUUCCUCACAUUGAUGGGACUUCCCUAACAAGAACGAA